rnacentral:tRNA from 1 species
GCUCGCUUAGCUCAGUUGGUUAGAGCGUCGUACUAAUACUGUACCCUCAGUAUCAAGUAAUGCGAAGGUCGCCAGUUCGACCCUGGUAGUGAGCA